UACGUAGGGGGCAAGCGUUGUCCGGAUUUAUUGGGCGUAAAGAGCGUGUAGGCGGCCGUACAGGUCAGCUGUGAAAACUCGAGGCUCAACCUCGAGACGUCGGUUGAAACCGUACGGCUAGAGUCCGGAAGAGGAGAGUGGAAUUCCCGGUGUAGCGGUGAAAUGCGCAGAUAUCGGGAGGAACACCAGUGGCGAAGGCGGCUUCCUGGACCGGUUCUGACACUGAGGAGCGAAAGCGUGGGGAGCGAUCCGG
rnacentral:rRNA from 1 species